GACAGAGGGUGCAAACGUUGUUCGGAAUUACUGGGCGUAAAGCGCGUGUAGGCGGCCAUGCAAGUCGGAUGUGAAAGCCCUCGGCUCAACCGGGGAAGUGCACUCGAAACUGCAAGGCUAGAGUCUCGGAGAGGAUCGUGGAAUUCUCGGUGUAGAGGUGAAAUUCGUAGAUAUCGAGAGGAACACCGGUGGCGAAGGCGGCAUCCUGGACCAAUAUUGACGCUGAGGAGCGAAAGCUAGGGGAGCAAACGGG
rnacentral:rRNA from 1 species